rnacentral:rRNA from 1 species
UUCACCUACGGGGGGCAGCAGUGAGGAAUAUUGGUCAAUGGGCUUACGCCUGAACCAGCCAAGUCGCGUGAGGGAAGACUGCCCUAUGGGUUGUAAACCUCUUUUGUCAGGGAGCAAUUGGCGCUACGUGUAGCGUUAUCGAGAGUACCUGAAGAAAAAGCAUCGGCUAACUCCGUGCCAGCAGCCGCGGUAAUACGGAGGAUGCGAGCGUUAUCCGGAUUUAUUGGGUUUAAAGGGUGCGUAGGCGGGCUUUUAAGUCAGCGGUAAAAAUUCGGGGCUCAACCCCGUCCGGCCGUUGAAACUGG